rnacentral:rRNA from 1 species
UACGGAGGGUGCAAGCGUUGUCCGGAUUUAUUGGGUUUAAAGGGUGCGUAGGCGGUUUGGUAAGUCGGCGAUGAAAGCCCGGGGCUCAACCCCGGAACUGUCGUCGAUACUGUCGAACUUGAGUAUGGUGGAGGCUGGCGGAAUAGGCGGUGUAGCGGUGAAAUGCAUAGAUACCGUCCAGAACCCCGAUUGCGAAGGCAGCUGGCUGUACCAUUACUGACGCUGAGGCACGAAAGCGUGGGGAGCGAACAGGAUUAGAUACCCUGGUAGUCCACGCCGUAAACGAUGGAUACUCGUCGUGGGCGAUAGACAGUCCGCGACUAAGCGAAAGCGGUAAGUAUCCCACCUGGGGAGUACGCCGGCAACGGUGAA